CGGCUAAGACACUACUCCUGCCAAAUACCCUGCAGUAGCGCACCGCGCUAUGUCUCCCUCCAGGGAUCUGUACCACUCCCAAUCCUGUUUCGUGCUGGGAUUGUAGUCUUGUAAACCUACAACUAACACCUGGGUGCGGAUAAGAGACUACAGCUCCCAUCAUUCCCAGCAAAGGGCCGUUCUGCACCGAGCUCUUUCAGGAUUCCAGUGCAGUUCCGCCAUGCGGAGGGAAGCUUGGCUGUUCACAAACCUCUCCUGCACUCGAGGAGACAGCUUGGCCGGGGCAGCUGAUCUCACCUUGUCAUUGUGACACGGUGUCUCCCCAACGUGCCGACUUCAUGACUUGUCGUGCCCAAAGUUUACUUUCUCGCAGAACCGGUAGAGGCCAAGAGCUUCUCAGAGCUUCCGCCGCAGGGUUGCCAUGAUUAACUCUUAAGUACUCCACGCUUCUGAAACGGGCGUAGGCACAGCGUCAGUUCUGUACAGUGCGGACGCAGCAGGACAGAAUCUCCCUGGGCAUCUUUCUGGAGCAUCAGUUUUACUGCAAGAUUUUAAGAAACAAAUUUAAUUGAUUUCCAAGUUAAGAAAUUAAACCUUGAAAACUAGACUAAAAAGUCAUCUGCACCUGACGUAACAGACUUUCUGCAGGAAGAAAACUCUAAGGAGAGCAUAUUGUCCAUUAUUAUAAAUAGUGAAAAUGAGAAAUCAUAGCAAGUCCCUUGAAAACCCUGCCCUGCCAGUCUUCUAAUAGGGCCUUGGUAUGGUUUUAUGUGUAUUUUCUUUUUGAAGUGUGCUCACCUUUUGAAUAUACAAAUUUGGGGUUUUGACCAAAUUUUGCAAGUUUUCGGCUAUUGUUUAUUUGCUUUUGUAUCACAUUUAAUUUUUCUGUCUCUCCCUCUCCUUCUCGGACUCAGUCAUUCCACAGGUCUCCAAGGCGCUUUUCAUUUUCUUCAAACUUGUUUCACUCUUCAGAUUGGAUGAUUUCUAUUGCUGUCUUCUGUUUCUACUGUUUAUAAACUCAACGGUCUUUUUAAUUUUUCAUUUCAUUAUCUCUCUAUUCCAUUCUUUUCAUCAUUUCCAUUUCUCUGCUGAGGCUCCACAUGAGUUAAUUCAUUAUGAGGAUGUUUUCCUUUAUCCCCAUGAACAUACUAUACUUAUAAUAGCUGCUCUCAAACCCUUGUCUGCUGAUGACAUCGUCUUGGACAUCUUAGAAUUAGCUUCUGCUGCCUGCUUUUUAUCUUGUGUAUAGAUUACAUUUUAACGUUUCUUCACACAUUUCAUGAAUUUUAAUAUUGUGUACUAGAAAUUAUAAAUAGUAGUUAUAGAGACUUUAAAUUCUGUUGUAUUCCUUUGAAGAGCAUUGUUACUUGAAGAGGGGUUAAUCUGACUGGAUUCAAACAGCAAUACCUACCUCCCCUACAGUGGACACAGUUGAAAUCCUCAUUCGGUGAACACACACACGCAUGUAUUGUAUAUAGUUGUGCAUUUCUGUGUAACUAUAUAUAUUUUAUCCAGAUUUUCUCGUUACCUGUGAGAGUGUUCAACAAGCUACUCUAGCAUUACUGAAAGUCAGAACCUCAGUUUUGUUUGCUUAUUGGAUUUGAAUACAUAAUGCCUUUGUUUUCUUUUGUAACAUUUUUCAAUUUGAAGUCUUAUUUUGUCCGAUAUUAAUAUAGGACAACCCAAAUCUCUUUUGCUUAUUAUUUGCAUGAAAUAUCUGUUUUUCUCUUUUCACUUUCAACCAGUUGUGUCUUUCAGUCUAAUGUGAGUCUUGUACAAACAUGAUAGUUGCAUCAUGUUUUUUAGUCUGUUUUGCUGAUCUCUGCCUUUUAAUUUGAUAGUUCAAUCCAUUUACAUUUAAAAUAAUUAUUCAUAGGUAGAUUUCUGUCAUUUUGCUAUUUGUUUUCUGUAUACCUUACGUCUUUUUAUUUUACAUUUUCUACAUUAUUUUCUUCUUAUGUAUUGGGUUAAUUUUUUUUAGUAAAAUAUUUUAACUUUUUAUUUCCUUUGUGUAUAUUCUAUAGCUUCUUUUUGUGAUUACCAUCAUGGUGAUGACAUUUAACAUCAGAAUUUAUUUAUUUUAAUUGCUGCAUAGUACUAUAUUCAAUUAUAUGAACAUAGUAUAAUUUUUAAAUCUAUUCUACUUUUGAUAGUCAUCACUGGGAUAUUUAAUAUGACUUAUUUUUUAGAUGAGUAUCGAGUUUACAUAAACAUUGAGCGGAACAUACAGAGUUCCCAUAUAUCCUCUCCCCACACCCAGCUUCUCCUCUAUUAUUAACACCUUACAUUAGUGUGGCAUAUUUGUUACUCUUAAUGAACUAAUAUAGAAAAGUUAUUAACUAAAAUCUAAAGUUUGCAUUCGAAUUCAUGUUUUCUGUUUUACACUCUGUGGAUUUUGACAAAUGCAUGAUGACAUGACAUGUAUCCAUUAUUGCAUUAUACAAAAUAGUUUUAUUGUCUUAAAAUAUCCACUGUACUCCAUCUAUUCAUCUCACCCCUUUUCCCCCCAAACUUUUGGAAAGCACAGGUCUUCUUACUGUGUCCAUGGUUUUGCCUUUUACAGAAUGUCAUAUAGUUGGAAUCCUAUAGUAUGUAGCCUUUUCAGACUGUCUUUUUCACAGCCAUAUGUAUUUAAGGUUCCUCACGUCUUUUCAAGCCUUGACAGCUCAUUUUUUUAAAUCAGUGAAUAAUGUUCUGUUGUAUGCUUGCACCACAGCCAGUUUAUUUAUUUACCUAUUGAAGAACAUUAUUUACCUAUUAAAAACAUUAUUUACCUAUUGAAGACCAUCUUGGUUGGUUCCAUGUUUUGGCAAUUAUGUAUAAAAGUGCUCUAAACAGUCACCUGCGGAGUUUUGUGCAGAUGAAAGUUUUCACCUCUUUUGGAUUAAGGCCAAAGAGUGUGAUUGCUGGAUUGUAUGUAAGUGUGUUUCUAGCUCUGUAAGAAACUGGCAAACUGUCUUCCAAACUAGUCAUAGGACUUUGCAUUUUCACCAACAAGCUCUUGUUAUUCUACAUCCUCACCAGCAUUUAGUGUAGCCCCUGUUUUGGAUUUUAGCCAUUCUAAUAUGUGUGUGGCAGUAUGCCAUUGUUAUUUUCAAUUUCCCAAUGACACGCUGUUGAGCAUAUUUUCAUGUGCUUAUUUGCCAUGCUUAUAUGUUCUUUAGUAAGGAUCUGUAUCUUUUGCCAUUUUAUAAUUGGGUUGUUCAUUUCUUAUUCUUGGGUUUUAAGAGCUCUGGAAUUUUUUGCAUAUUUUUGAUACCAGUCUUUUAUCAGUUAUGUGUUUUGCAAAUAUUUUCUCCCAUUCUGUGGCUUGUCUUUUUAUUUUUUAACAGUGUCUGACAAUGCAGAAAUGUUAUUUUUAAUAUGGUUCAACUUAGCAACUUUUCCUUUCAUGGAUCAUGUUUUUGGUGUUUUUGUUUUUGUUUUUCUUUGUGACAGAGUCUCGCCCUGUCACCCAGGCUAGAGUGCAGUGGUGCAAUCUUGGCUCACUGCACCCUCCUCCUCCUGGGUUCAAGCAAUUCUCCUGCCUCAGCCUCCUGAGUAGCUGGGAUUACAGGC
rnacentral:lncRNA from 1 species